rnacentral:rRNA from 1 species
UUGGAGGGCAAGUCUGGUGCCAGCAGCCGCGGUAAUUCCAGCUCCAAUAGCGUAUAUUAAAGUUGUUGCAGUUAAAAAGCUCGUAGUUGAAUUUCGAGAUCAGUACGCUGGUCGUGCCUUCGGUAUGCACUGGUGUCACUGGUUUCUCCCUUCUGAAGAACCGUCAUGUCAUUAAGUUGGUGUGGCGGGGAAUCAGGACUGUUACUUUGAAAAAAUUAGAGUGUUUAAAGCAGGCUCGCGCUUGAAUACAUUAGCAUGGAAUAAUGAAAUAGGACGUUUGACCCUAUUUUGUUGGUUUCUAGGAUCGACGUAAUGAUUAAUAGGGAUAGUUGGGGGCAUUAGUAUUCAAUUGUCAGAGGUGAAGUUCUUGGAUUUAUUGAAGACUAACUACUGCGAAAGCAAUUGCCAAGGAUGUUUUCAUUAAUCAAGAACGAAAGUUAGGGGAUCGAAGACGAUCAGAUACCGUCGUAGUCUUAACCAUAAACUAUGCCGACUAGGGACCGGAUGAUGUUAAUUUUUUAAUGACUCAUUCGGCGCCUUACGGGAAAC